GUAUUAAUUAUAUUAGGUACUAUUUCUAUAAAAGUACUUAUUGUUUUGUCAAAUCUAUUUUGACCAUAUAGAAACUAGGGAAUUAACGAAAUAUUAUGCUCAUGAAAAACUGAAUCAAUACUCUAAUUUUUAGUUUUUAGAACAUUGUGGUAACUUGUAAGUACAAUUUACAUUUUUUAAUAACUCAAUUUAUCUUUUUACAAAUGUAUUGUUGAUGUCGGCGAUUUUGGGAGCCUAAACAACCAAGUUUUAUAACAUUGAAAACCCUUUUUUUCCUUUAUAUUAAGAAAAAGUGGGAACUUUUGUAAGUCAAAAUGGGACUAACAAAUAAAAGGACAUAAAUUUUACUAUCCAUUAAAAGUAUAUAACCCUCUAUUGGCUAGUUCUAUUAUAUAUCUGACCCUAAAAUGUAUAUAAUACGGUAUUAAAUCGUUGUAUAAUCUUAUUUCUGCAUUGUAGAUAACAAUCAACUAUUUUAAUGUAAAGAAUAUUGAUAUAUAUUAUUUAAAUAUCCUAUUAUUACAGUCCGUAAUCGAGCCUAAAAAAAUAAUUCAUUCUACAAAUCUAGCCAUUUUUUAGGGAUUCUGAGUAUACAUAAUAUAGUACCAAGUUACAGAUGUGGAUUUAUAGUAGAUAUAACUUUGUUUCAAUUCAAAUAUCACUGCUUAUCAUUGACACCAAGUACUAUUCCAUUGAUAAGUCUUAAUUUAUUCAUAAAGCCAUUUGAAUAAGUUUCAUAAAUAUUUAUUCGAAAUUAGUCCAUUUUGAUUUUUUGAAUAUUCAAUGUGUUCUACUAGUACAUAAAAUUUAACGGUUUUUUUGAACACGUGGGUUCAAAUAUUUAUUAGCUUUUAUUAAUUUUUCUACAGGAGUACAUAUUAUUGAAAACAUCAGCAUUUUAUUUUAUAUUUAUCAAAUUUCUAUUAAUUUUGAUUUCUUAAGCGAAAGCAAAUUGAAUUUAAAGUUAAUUUACUUGUUAUUAAUGUACUCUCAAGUCUGAACUUGAGAGUACAUUAAUAACAUCCGGUGCAUGCUAGAAGUAAUAUUAUUAGUGAUAGUUUGUUUGACUUAUAGAAUGUAUACUUUAAAGAACUGUUGAAUGUAAAAAAAAAAAAGAAUGGAUAGAUCCCUAGUUGGUAGAUGGCGCUUCAACAGUUGAAAAUAAUUUAAUAUUCUAGUUCAAUUUCUAUCGUAUGUAUCAGUUGAGUGUGAAUCAUUCUUCAAUGAGGAUCAUGAUAGCCCAUCUCAUCUGCUCGAAAUCAUAUCCUGGUGGAUAACAACGCUUUACAAUAACAGGUCCUGACGGAUGCUUGUUUAACUCUGAACGUUCUAUAAAUGAAUUCAGGUAAUGUUAAGUUAAUAAUAUUCGUAAAUUAGAUUGCAUUUCAAUGAUGAAUGCUUUGAAAAAGCUUUUUCUGGUACCUCUUAUGAAUUUCCAACAUGAUUUUACCGUUUCAUUCUGAAUAUCAUUGUCCUAGUACAAAGAUUUUCAUUGGCUUAUUAGGAUAUAUAGAUAACUUCUUUCUCUUUUAAUAGGAUGCUAGAAAUGUCUCAAUUCAACCGUGAAAAUGUUAGGGGAUGGCUUAAGAACGUGGCGCUACAUUUCAAAGAUGUAGAAUGGAUAUGUGAAUGACUGCUCGGAUCUGGAACGAUUUGUUAAAUUUAUAUUGUUAAUUGAUAAUAAAGUGGAUUAUCUCUAGUUUGGAUCUUUCCUGUUUUACUUCGUUCUUGUUAUGCAUGCGACUUUUUUACUGUCCCACUAUCCAUUACUAUAUUAAUGUCUAAAUAUAGCCUUUUCAAGUAAGGAGUAAUUGCGACUCAAUGUUUAAGACCUUAGUAGGAGUUACUUGUAAAAGAUUUCCGGAAUUUCAAUGUCGAAUGUUAGAUACUGAAAUGUUUACAGUCAAAAGUAUAUAAUCCGCUCUGUAUUAUUAAUACAGAGCGGAAUAAAGGAAUUAAUCAGGUUUAUAAAAUCCGCAUCGCUGAAUAUGUAAAAAUAUCUCAUAAGAGAACAAUAAGGUAGGGGGGGGUAUUAAUUAAUUGAAGCUAACAAUCGAAAUGUGAUAUUACAAGGGUUAUUUGAUGGUAUGCCUAUGUAAGUACUCUUACAGCCACCAUCUAGGGUCAAACGACACUUAAUGUCCUCGUCCCACAUCAAGAAUAUGUAUUCAUACGAACAACAUUUGAGUCAUGAUGAUUCUGACAACUUUUAACACCAACCUCUUAAAGAUGCAAAUUUCCUGUAAUAAACCUUUUUUUACCGUGGAGAACACUAUUUUCUCUUAGUUUAUGAAUAAAUAUGCCAAUAGAACCGUUCCUAGUGGAAAGACUCUACUUAGAUUAAUGGAUGUUGUCAGUAAGGAUGUAAUCUCCAAAAUUAAAGGGAAAAUUGGAGAUAAGGAUAUUUUCAUAGCUGUUGAGAAUAAAUACAACCGGGAAUUAUUAAUGACAGCUACAUUGAUUUGUCCUUCGGAUGGCCGUUUCUGGGGUCGUCUUUAUAUAAUCAGCAUGAUAAGAAAUAAAAGUUGCUAAUGCCGUUAAUUUUGUUGUUCAGAGUAUUCAACUAACUCUUGGUUUUGACUUUGAUGAAAAUAAAUUAAAAGUUUUCAUCACGGAUAGAGCGUCAUACUGUAAAAAAGUGGGCGAAGACCUCAAAAGUAGCUACCCUUAAUUGAAACAAAUAAUUUAUGUAGCUUAUGGACUCCAUAACGUGGAUGAACUUGCACGUAAAGAAUUUCAAAAGACAAAGGAGCUCAUUUCAGAAAUAAAAAAAAAGUUUUUGAAUGCCGGGCUUAGAAAACGGAACUUUACUGCUUCUCCCCAAAUUCCCUUACCUCUAUCGUCACACGCUAGGGAUCUUGGUUAAAAGGUGAAAUGAGAUUGUAAAUGAUGAGUUUAUUUAUGAAGAAUUGUCAAUAAUUAAUCAUAAUCUCAACCCAAUUACCGAGGACAUUACUGCGUUAGAAGGAAGACUCCUUUUACUUGUUAGCUUGACUAUUGUCCAACAUUUACACGUCGAUAUCAAGCUAGAGCCAUUCAAAACAAAAUUAAAUACAUUUUUAGAUGAAAAUCCAGCGUAGAACAAUUUGUGAGACCUGGUAAAUUCUGAGCAGACAAUAUACAGAAACACACCUAUUGUAAAUUGUGUUUUAGAGAGGAUUUUCAGCAUAUUCAGAGCCAUUCAUACAGAAAUAGAAUCCUGUUUAUCAGUAAAAAGUGUCAGGAGCAAGCUAAUUAUAAAAUGGAAUAUUGAAAUAUUAGCAAUAAGUAUUUAUCAAAUAACAUUUUUAAGAAUAAAUUAUAUUUUUUCUUAGAUACAGUAAUGUGGUCAAGAACAACAGCAUGAAUGGUCUCAAGGGGGGGCCUUAGCUAUAAAUGGUGUGCAAACUAACAUCAGUUUCCUCGUAAAAAGACUUGGGAUUAACAUAUAGCUAAAUGUUCAUAAUCUCCGAGAUAAGGUGUUAGAGAACUACAUUAAUAUGGUCAAAAACCACAGCAUGAAUGGUGUCAAAGGUGGUUUUAGCUUCAAAUGGCGUGCAAAUAGUUUGUCUAACAUCAGUUUCCUCGGGUUAAGAAUUGGUGUGCUCCAUGGAUUCCAACAUGUUGAAGUACAAUAUAUUUAAGAUAACUUUACAAAUUACUUAGAUGACGAAAAAUGAGGAUUCUAC
rnacentral:lncRNA from 1 species